AGCAGUCGCCGCGGGAAUACAGAGGGUGCGAGCGUUAAUCGGAUUUACUGGGCGUAAAGCGUGCGUAGGCGGCUUCUUAAGUCGGAUGUGAAAUCCCUGAGCUUAACUUAGGAAUUGCAUUCGAUACUGGGAAGCUAGAGUAUGGGAGAGGAUGGUAGAAUUCCAGGUGUAGCGGUGAAAUGCGUAGAGAUCUGGAGGAAUACCGAUGGCGAAGGCAGCCAUCUGGCCUAAUACUGACGCUGAGGUACGAAAGCAUGGGGAGCAAACAGGAUUAGAUACACCAGUAGUCCCUGUCUCUUAUAC
rnacentral:rRNA from 1 species